AGGCGCGUAGCUCAGUUGGUAGAGCACAGGUCUCCAAAACCUGGUGUCGUAGGUUCGAUCCCUGCCGCGCCUGCCA
rnacentral:tRNA from 1 species